GCGUCUGCUCAUAUCAUCGUGCUUUCAAGUUAUUCUCCAUUUGUUAAAUACACUCCUCAAUGGCAUUGGCUAGCGGGGGAGCUGAAGAGGGUGGACAGGGAGAAGACACCUUGGCUAAUCGUUCUCAUGCAUUCGCCAAUGUACAACAGCAAUGAAGCACACUACAUGGAGGGUGAAAGUAUGCGGGCUGUUUUCGAAAGUUGGUUUGUACACUAUAAAGUUGAUAUUGUCUUCGCAGGCCAUGUUCAUGCUUAUGAGAGAUCGUACCGCGUCUCCAAUAUAAACUACAACAUAACAUCGGGAAACCGAUACCCCAUUGCUGACAAAUCAGCUCCUGUGUACAUAACCGUCGGGGAUGGAGGAAAUCAGGAAGGCCUCGCUGGAAGGUUUACCGAGCCACAGCCAGAUUAUUCCGCAUUCAGGGAGGCGAGCUACGGGCAUUCUACAUUGGAAUUGAAGAACCGAACGCAUGCAUUAUAUCGAUGGAACCGCAACGACGAUGGGAAAUCUGUGCAGACAGACCAUGUUACAUUUCGCAAUCAGUACUGGGC
rnacentral:misc_RNA from 1 species